UUAUUGGGCGUAAGGGCUCGCAGGCGGUUUCUUAAGUCUGAUGUGAAAGCCCCCGCCCCCUACCGGGGAGGGUCAUUGGAAACUGGGAAACUUGAGUGCCCAUGAGGAGAGUGGAAUUCCACGUGUAGCGGUGAAAUGCGUAGAGAUGUGGAGGAACACCAGUGGCGAAGGCGACUCUCUGGUCUGUAACUGACGCUGAGGAGCGAAAGCGUGGGGAGCGAACAGGAUUAGAUACCCUGGCAGUCCACGCCGUAAACGAUGAGUGCUAAGUGUUAGGGGGCCUCCGCCCCUUAGUGCUGCAGCUAACGCAUUAAGCACUCCGCCUGGGCAGUACGGUCGCAAGACUGAAACUCAAAGGAAUUGACGGGGGCCCGCACAAGCGGUGGAGCAUGUGGUUUAAUUCUAAACAACGUGCAUAACCUUACCUGGUCUUGACAUCCUC
rnacentral:rRNA from 1 species